UCGUGGAUCAGAAUGCCACGGUGAAUACGUUCCCGGGCCUUGUACACACCGCCCGUCACACCAUGGGAGUGGGUUGCAAAAGAAGUAGGUAGCUUAACCUUCGGGAGGGCGCUUACCACUUUGUGAUUCAUGACUGGGGUGAAGUCGUAACAAGGUAACCGUAGGGGAACCUGCGGUUGGAUCACC
rnacentral:rRNA from 2 species